rnacentral:lncRNA from 1 species
AGCUCAGUGAUUGUUCUUAUGGCCAAAAAUAAAGCACAAGUUUACUGAGAUUGAAUAAACCCAGGAGGGGGAAGCGCAGGGGAUGUGCACCCCCACUGGGCAGCGUGAUCCUUCUGUUAAACCAUACUCUUCAGGCAGUGGCUGAUGGAGGGCAUAUGCCUGCCUGGGUCAUGACCGAACACAGACACACACUAGGUAUGUCAGAGAAGCUCCGGACCACACCCCCAAGCACGGUACCAUCUGCUUCAUCUGAUUAGCUGUAAAUAACUGGAGACAGUGAAUACACUGAUUUUUCUAUGUCUCUGUUUAAGCAUAAGACUUUGUAAUGAUUUUUUUAGAGGGGGAAAAACCAACAAAGAGCAAAUAUGUACUUGCUUCCUUUCUGCGUGUUACGUACUUCUC